rnacentral:rRNA from 1 species
AACGAACGCUGGCGGCAGGCCUAACACAUGCAAGUCGAGCGGACCUUUCGGGGUCAGCGGCGGACGGGUGAGUAACGCGUGGGAAUAUGCCCUUCUCUACGGAAUAGUCCUGGGAAACUGGGGGUAAUACCGUAUACGCCCUUUGGGGGAAAGAUUUAUCGGGGAAGGAUUAGCCCGCGUUGGAUUAGGUAGUUGGUGGGGUAAUGGCCUACCAAGCCGACGAUCCAUAGCUGGUUUGAGAGGAUAAUCAGCCACACUGGGACUGAGACACGGCCCAGACUCCUACGGGAGGCAGCAGUGGGGAAUCUUAGACAAUGGGGGCAACCCUGAUCUAGCCAUGCCGCGUGAGUGAUGAAGGCCUUAGGGUUGUAAAGCUCUUUCAGCUGGGAAGAUAAUGACGGUACCAGCAGAAGAAGCCCCGGCUAACUCCGUG